CAGGGCACCUAGCGGCGGACGGGUGAGUAAUGCUUAGGAAUCUGCCUAUUAGUGGGGGACAACAUCUCGAAAGGGAUGCUAAUACCGCAUACGUCCUACGGGAGAAAGCAGGGGAUCUUCGGACCUUGCGCUAAUAGAUGAGCCUAAGUCGGAUUAGCUAGUUGGUGGGGUAAAGGCCUACCAAGGCGACGAUCUGUAGCGGGUCUGAGAGGAUGAUCCGCCACACUGGGACUGAGACACGGCCCAGACUCCUACGGGAGGCAGCAGUGGGGAAUAUUGGACAAUGGGGGGAACCCUGAUCCAGCCAUGCCGCGUGUGUGAAGAAGGCCUUAUGGUUGUAAAGCACUUUAAGCGAGGAGGAGGCUACUCUAGUUAAUACCUAGAGAUAGUGGACGUUACUCGCAGAAUAAGCACCGGCUAACUCUGUGCCAGCAGCCGCGGUAAUACAGAGGGUGCGAGCGUUAAUCGGAUUUACUGGGCGUAAAGCGUGCGUAGGCGGCUUAUUAAGUCGGAUGUGAAAUCCCCGAGCUUAACUUGGGAAUUGCAUUCGAUACUGGUGAGCUAGAGUAUGGGAGAGGAUGGUAGAAUUCCAGGUGUAGCGGUGAAAUGCGUAGAGAUCUGGAGGAAUACCGAUGGCGAAGGCAGCCAUCUGGCCUAAUACUGACGCUGAGGUACGAAAGCAUGGGGAGCAAACAGGAUUAGAUACCCUGGUAGUCCAUGCCGUAAACGAUGUCUACUAGCCGUUGGGGCCUUUGAGGCUUUAGUGGCGCAGCUAACGCGAUAAGUAGACCGCCUGGGGAGUACGGUCGCAAGACUAAAACUCAAAUGAAUUGACGGGGGCCCGCACAAGCGGUGGAGCAUGUGGUUUAAUUCGAUGCAACGCGAAGAACCUUACCUGGCCUUGACAUACUAGAAACUUUCCAGAGAUGGAUUGGUGCCUUCGGGAAUCUAGAUACAGGUGCUGCAUGGCUGUCGUCAGCUCGUGUCGUGAGAUGUUGGGUUAAGUCCCGCAACGAGCGCAACCCUUUUCCUUACUUGCCAGCAUUUCGGAUGGGAACUUUAAGGAUACUGCCAGUGACAAACUGGAGGAAGGCGGGGACGACGUCAAGUCAUCAUGGCCCUUACGGCCAGGGCUACACACGUGCUACAAUGGUCGGUACAAAGGGUUGCUACACAGCGAUGUGAUGCUAAUCUCAAAAAGCCGAUCGUAGUCCGGAUUGGAGUCUGCAACUCGACUCCAUGAAGUUCCGGU
rnacentral:rRNA from 1 species